UACGUAGGGGGCGAGCGUUAAUCGGAAUUACUGGGCGUAAAGUGUGCGCAGGCGGCUUCGCAAGUCGAGUGUGAAAUCCCCGAGCUUAACUUGGGAAUUGCGCUCGAAACUACGGAGCUGGAGUGUGGCAGAGGAAGGUGGAAUUACACGUGUAGCGGUGAAAUGCGUAGAGAUGUGGAGGAACACCGAUGGCGAAGGCAGCCUUCUGGGACAACACUGACGCUCAUGCCCGAAAGCGUGGGGAGCAAACAGG
rnacentral:rRNA from 1 species